UGUUGAGGCAUUGCUAAAUAAGAAGACAUGCAGGGAGCUGCAGCAGUCAAAGACAGGAGAGGAGCUCCAUGAUCUUAUCCACCAUCCCACUGCCAAAGAAACUGCAGUUGCUGCCAAGUUCAAGACCAAGGGUGGUUCUCAGCUGAAGGAGUAUUGCUUGAAUUUAAUAAAGGAAGAUUGUCCGCGUAAGAGUGUUCUGUACACUGCAUGUGAUAAGGGUCCAUCAUGGAGGUAAAUAUGAAAAGAUUAAAUGCUAAAGAUGUGUAUCUUGAAGAAAAUGAGAAGCAAAUUGAAGAUGUCAACAACUUAAUAUUAUAUAUAUUGGUCUG